UGGGGAAUUUUGGACAAUGGGGGCAACCCUGAUCCAGCAAUGCCGCGUGUGUGAAGAAGGCCUUCGGGUUGUAAAGCACUUUUGUCCGGAAAGAAAACCUCCUGGUUAAUACCUGGGGGGGAUGACGGUACCGGAAGAAUAAGCACCGGCUAACUACGUGCCAGCAGCCGCGGUAAUACGUAGGGUGCAAGCGUUAAUCGGAAUUACUGGGCGUAAAGCGUGCGCAGGCGGUUCGCUAAGACAGAUGUGAAAUCCCCGGGCUUAACCUGGGAACUGCAUUUGUGACUGGCGGGCUAGAGUAUGGCAGAGGGGGGUAGAAUUCCACGUGUAGCAGUGAAAUGCGUAGAGAUGUGGAGGAAUACCGAUGGCGAAGGCAGCCCCCUGGGCCAAUACUGACGCUCAUGCACGAAAGCGUGGGGAGCAAACA
rnacentral:rRNA from 1 species